AUUGAACGCUGGCGGCAGGCUUAACACAUGCAAGUCGAGCGGAGCGAGGGUGCUUGCACCUUAGCUUAGCGGCGGACGGGUGAGUAAUGCUUAGGAAUCUGCCUAUUAGUGGGGGACAACAUUCCGAAAGGGAUGCUAAUACCGCAUACGCCCUACGGGGAAAGCAGGGGAUCUUCGGACCUUGCGCUAAUAGAUGAGCCUAAGUCGGAUUAGCUAGUUGGUGGGGUAAAGGCCUACCAAGGCGACGAUCUGUAGCGGGUCUGAGAGGAUGAUCCGCCACACUGGGACUGAGACACGGGCCCAGACUCCUACGGGGAGGCAGCAGUGGGGAAUAUUGGACAAUGGGGGGAACCCUGAUCCAGCCAUGCCGCGUGUGUGAAGAAGGCCUUUUGGUUGUAAAGCACUUUAAGCGAGGAGGAGGCGCUCUAGGAUAAUACCCUAGAUGCGUGGACGUUACUCGCAGAAUAAGCACCGGCUAACUCU
rnacentral:rRNA from 1 species